UCGUAGAUAACGAGGGACAAUAUGUUACUAUCGAUUAUCUAUUUUACUCUAGUAUUGUUAUCAGUCUUUAUUAAUGGAAACUCUGAAGACUGUCUACGAACUUGUAUCAAAGAUGAACCACCAAAAAUUUGUUACUAUAAAUUUACUAUCGAAUUUUAUCCUACUAAUGGACUAGCCUGUCAAUUCUGUACACCCACUUCAACUCAAGGAUUUGAAAAUUCAACUGAUUUGUGUCAAUGCAUUGUGAGUGAUGGAGUUGAAAAAACUGUUCUUUCUACUAACAGAAUGGUUCCUGGUCCUCACAUUCAGGUUUGCAAGUACGAUUACAUAAUAGUAGAUGUUGAGAAUAAAGCUACAGGACUUGAAGCAACAGUACAUUGGCAUGGUAUCUUUCAAGAGGGUUACCAAUAUUACGAUGGUGUUCCAUACGUCACGCAGUGCCCCAUUCCAACAUUGAAUACAUUUAGAUAUCAAUUUCAAGUAAAGCAGUCUGGAACAUAUUUCUGGCACUCCCAUUUAGCAAUGCAUCGAUUGGACGGUCAAUAUGGUCCUAUGAUAAUACGAGAACCUGUUGAAGAUGAUCCGAAUUCUAUAUUCUAUGAUGAAGAUGAUCCUGCUCAUGUUAUUCUUAUCAGUGAUUGCCUACAUCAAUUGUCUACCGAUCGAUAUCCGGGGUUGAGGCAACGAUUGCCUGGUCAAACUGCAGAAAAUAUCUUGAUAAAUGGCAGAGGAACAUUUACAUUUCCCAAUGGAAGCACGACAAACAUUCAGCUAGAGACAUUUCAUGUAAAACCAGGGACUCGUUACCGUUUCCGGUUGAUUAAUUCGUUUACCACAGUGUGUUUAGCUCAACUGAAUAUUGAAGAUCAUCCUCUACUACUGAUUGCUCAAGAUGGUAGUAGCAUUAAGCCGGUGUAUGUCAACACAAUUGUCAGUGGACCAGGUGAACGAAUUGACUUUGUGAUAAAUGCCAACAGAACCGUUAAAUCAUACUGGAUUCAAGUGAGGGGACUUGGUGAGUGUUCAGAAACUGAGAUAAAUCAAUUGGCAACGAUCCAAUAUGAAGGAACACCCGAGGAGGGUAACAGUACAGCACCCACUCACGCCAAUGGGCUUCCUCGUGGAAUUCUUUAUAAUCCUCUUCAAAGUAAUUGUACACCAAACAAUGUGUCUAUUUGUCCAUCAAAUUUAAAAACAGCAGAACCUUUCGAUGAUGAAAUAUUAAAUGUUGAAGCAGAUGUCCAAUUAAUAUUACCUUUUUGGUUCCAUCAUUUCGACUCAAGUGAUCAGAAUGAUCCAUUAUUUAGUUCUGAUCCCGACCAUUAUCCUACUUUUUUCGUGGCACCACAACAAGUACCAUUACAGAGUUUAAUCGAUAAUAUCAAUUUCAAAUUUCCAUCUGCUCCACCAAUAUCUGAUCCAAAAGGUCAUGAAGAUUUCUGCGAAGGUCCAAAUUCGAAUUAUUGUAACCGCACGGCUUCAAACCUUCCUUGUUCAUGUACACAUAUCAGACAUAUUCCGAAGAAUGCACUUGUUGAAAUUGUACUCUACGAUAAAGAAAGACUGCCAUCUCUAAUUCAUCCAUUUCAUCUUCACGGUUCACAUUUUUACGUGUUAGACAUGGGACGUUUUGAAGAUAACCGUAAUAUUACAACCUCAGAUAUAGAAGCAGUGAUGUCUGAUCAUCAAAGACGCUUGAUAGGUGGGGUGUAUGAUCAACCAUCACAGAAAGAUACUGUCUUAGUGCCUCAAGCAGGAUGGGUGAUUCUACGAUAUAAAGCUACUAAUCCUGGAUAUUGGUUUAUGCACUGCCAUAUGGAUUAUCAUUCAGCUACUGGUAUGCAAAUGAUUUUCCAUGUUGGAGAGGACUCUGAUCUUCCACCAAAACCUCCAGGUUUUCCAACAUGUGGAUCUUUCGAAGCUGCUAUAAACGCUAAUUUUAAUGAACAAGAAUAGUAACGAUAUUUCAUCGCUGAUAUGUUCAAUGAUCUUCAAAUAUUAAAUCUGGACCUUUGUGAUUGCCACAAGUGGGAAAAUCGAUUGGCACAGUUGGCAUAUUCUCUCGGUUGCCGACUCGCAUCAAAAAUUGCAUUGGCGGUCCACUUGUCAUGGAAACUACUCCAGUAGUUCGAGCUUCCCAUAACCAGUAACCGACGUUGUUAGUGUAAAAGCGGAGAAUCAUAUAUCCUUUGUUCGGUACAGUAAAAGUAUCCAUCAUCAGUGGAUCCAUUAAAUUUCGAUGUAGAAGUUUCUGUUGAUCUAAAGACACUAUUUCUUCUCUAGUUAUUGGUUUUUCAAACUGAUGAAAUCCUAUUACACUUACAUUGUAACCGUGAACGUGAAAUACGUGACUGGUAUUCCCUCCUUUACCUAUUUCAAUUUAAAAAAAAAACAUAAUCAAUUUUAAUCAACUUUUUUAUAGUAAUUAUUAAUUGUUCUUUUACUAAUAAGUAUAUCAUUUGAUUUGUUUGAACUUAAUAUUAUUAUUCAAGCGUAAGAAAAAUAAUAUUAAUAACUGAACAAUAUUACGCCAACAGCUCUUGACGUCAACAAAGCAUGAUUGCGCAUAUUACCGACGUUUAUUAUAACACCAGAAUUGAAUUAUCCUCGAGCUGUUUAAAGUUACAUACAAUGUAAUAAAGACAAAUUUUAGUAGAAUAUUUCAUAAAAUCAAUAAUGUGUUAUAUUGCUUCUCUAUAAUAAAUUCGAUAAUAAUUUGUUACAUGGUCGUUUCACAAAAUUUAAUAGGAUAGGUACUGAAAUUACUUGAAAACAUUCGCAAAAAUCGGGAUUGUAUUCACAAGUUUGAGCACGACGGUCCAAUGAACAGAUCAUAUUUUCUGGAACUGCAUCCGGUUGAGAUAAAAUUGGACAUGGAGGAUAUUUAAAAGUCAUUCGGUUGACUUGAGCAAUUUUCACUCCAUCCGUUUUGCCAGCUGCUGUAAAAAAGUUUUGAAUAUUUAGCUAAUUAAAAUGAGAUUGUAAAUAAAAUUCAUUUAUCUCAGCAAUAUAAAUUUAAAUUGCAAUAAAUGUCUUAAAACAUCGUUA